UACGGAGGGGGCUAGCGUUGUUCGGAAUUACUGGGCGUAAAGCGCACGUAGGCGGCUUUGUAAGUUAGAGGUGAAAGCCCGGGGCUCAACCCCGGAAUUGCCUUUAAGACUGCAUCGCUAGAAUUGUGGAGAGGUAAGUGGAAUUCCGAGUGUAGAGGUGAAAUUCGUAGAUAUUCGGAAGAACACCAGUGGCGAAGGCGACUCACUGGACACAUAUUGACGCUGAGGUGCGAAAGCGUGGGGAGCAAACAGG
rnacentral:rRNA from 1 species